rnacentral:rRNA from 1 species
UUUUGUUUGAUUCCUGGCUCAGRGCGAACGCUGGCGGCAGGCUUAACACAUGCAAGUCGAGCGGGCAUAGCAAUAUGUCAGCGGCAGACGGGUGAGUAACGCGUGGGAACGUACCUUUUGGUUCGGAACAACUGAGGGAAACUUCAGCUAAUACCGGAUAAGCCCUUACGGGGAAAGAUUUAUCGCCGAAAGAUCGGCCCGCGUCUGAUUAGCUAGUUGGUGAGGUAAUGGCUCACCAAGGCGACGAUCAGUAGCUGGUCUGAGAGGAUGAUCAGCCACAUUGGGACUGAGACACGGCCCAAACUCCUACGGGAGGCAGCAGUGGGGAAUAUUGGACAAUGGGCGCAAGCCUGAUCCAGCCAUGCCGCRUGRGUGAUGAAGGCCCUAGGGUUGUAAAKCUCUUUUGUGCGGGAAGAUAAUGACGUACCGCWWGWUWCGC